GAAACUAAGCGAGCUACUAUAAAGCAACUUCACAGAACCAACCCAUCCCUGUAGCAAAAGGGUGGGAAGACUUUAAAGUAGAGGUGACACGCCUACCGAGCUUAGAGAUAGCUGGUUAUUCAAGAAAAGGAUCUAAGUCCAUUUUUAAGUUUUUUUUAGUUCAACAAAACACUUAAUAAGCUUAAAAACCAUUCAAACAAGGGACAGCCUGUUUGAAAAAGGGCACAGCCUACAGCUCAGGGUAAUGAUUUUCCCCGUGACCAAGUAAGCCCUAAAGCAGCUAUCUUUCAAAAAGCGUCCAAGCUUCAUCACAGAAUCUUAUUAAUUCCACAAUUAAUUCAUAACCCCCAUCUACCACUGAAUAAUCUCAUACCAUAUGAGAAAUAUUAUGCUAGAACUAGUAAUAAGAAGAAGAACUUCUCCAAAAUGCAAACGUAAGCCAAAAUGAACACUCACCGGCACUUACCGCCACAAACCAACAGCAUUAACACUUCAAGAAAACAAUGCUUUAACUAACGUUAACCUUACACUAGGGCAUUCCCGGAAAGAUUAAAAAAGAGGGAAGGAACUCGGCAAACAAUAGCCC
rnacentral:rRNA from 1 species